rnacentral:rRNA from 1 species
CUCAGGACGAACGCUGGCGGCGUGCCUAAUACAUGCAAGUCGAACGGUCUUUCUAUGGAAGCUUGCUUCCACUGAGAAGAUAGUGGCGAACGGGUGAGUAACACGUGGGUAACCUGCCCAUAAGAGGGGGGAUAACAUCCGGAAACGGGUGCUAAUACCGCAUAGUUUUCUUGAUCGCAUGAUCGGGAAAGGAAAGACGGCCUUUGUGCUGUCGCUUAUGGAUGGACCCGCGGCGUAUUAGUUAGUUGGUGAGGUAACGGCUCACCAAGACGAUGAUACGUAGCCGACCUGAGAGGGUGAUCGGCCACAUUGGGACUGAGACACGGCCCAAACUCCUACGGGAGGCAGCAGUAGGGAAUCUUCCGCAAUGGACGAAAGUCUGACGGAGCAACGCCGCGUGAGUGAAAGAAGGUUUUCGGAUCGUAAAACUCUGUUGUCAGAGAAGAACAAGUUGGAGAGUAACUGCUCCAGCCUUGACGGUAUCUGACCAGAAAGCCACGGCUAACUACGUGCCAGCCGCCGC